AUACGGAGGGUGCAAGCGUUAUCCGGAAUCAUUGGGUUUAAAGGGUCCGUUGGCGGUCUAAUAAGUCAGGGGUGAAAUCCCGCAGCUUAACUGUGGAACUGCCCUUGAUACUGUUGGUCUUGAGUUACAGUGAAGUGGUUAGAAUGUGUAGUGUAGCGGUGAAAUGCAUAGAGAUUACACAGAAUACCGAUUGCGAAGGCAGAUCACUAACUGUAUACUGACGCUAAUGGACGAAAGCGUGGGGAGCGAACAGGAUUAGAAACCCUAGUAGUCC
rnacentral:rRNA from 1 species